GGAUUGUUAGCUCAGCUGGGAGAGCACCGCCCUUACAAGGCGGGGGUCACUGGUUCGAGCCCAGUACAAUCCACCA
rnacentral:tRNA from 1 species